AAGGAGUUAGGUUAAAUCAGAGACCUUUAGCCUUCAAAGCUGACAGUGGAGGGUAAUCCAAUCCUUA